AUUUGAUCAGGUUAUCCAAAUUUCUUCUUCCUUUAGUACUUUGGAAAACUGCAAAUCACAUGAAGCUUCUUUCAUGGACGCUUUUUUCCAGUUGAAGGUUGAUAUGGGUGCCCAUCGUUGUCUCCAAGAGACGAGAUAGUAAUCACUUUUCUAUCGGCUUUAUCACUUUUUAAAUGCCUUUAAUUUUAAGAUGAUUCGAGGAUUAUAGUUGGCCGCUGCUUUUCCCAUUUAAACAACAUAACACCUAAAUCAAGUUUCAUUUUAAUUUCUUGAUUUGCAAGCCUCUCAAGUCCCAUUCUCUCUGCUCCGGCACGGGCACACAGGAACACCCACACGUGUGCAAGUGUGAAAUAGAUGAGGAGGGAAGAAGAAAAGAGAUGGGCUUCAGUUGACAAUGAAGUAAGAAGAGAAAGGGAAAACCCCACAAGUGAAGUGAGAGUUAUUUGAGUUUAUAGUUCGUACAAGAAGAUGGCGACUCUCAAUCUAAUAAGGGCCAUAUGUAUUGGUCACGUCUUGUAGCUUCUUAAAGAGAUUAAACAUUAUCUUAAG
rnacentral:misc_RNA from 1 species